rnacentral:rRNA from 1 species
UACGGAAGGCAGCAGUGGGGAAUAUUGCACAAUGGGCGAAAGCCUGAUGCAGCUAUGCCGCGUGUAUGAAGAAGGCCUUAGGGUUGUAAAGUACUUUCAUCGGGGAGGAAAAAACAAAACUAAUAAUUUUAUUUCUUGACGUUACCCGAAAAAGAAGCACCGGCUAACUCCGUGCCAGCAGCCGCGGUAAUACGGAGGGUGCUAGCGUUAAUCAGAAUUACUGGGCGUAAAGGGCACGCAGGCGGUUAAUUAAGUUGGAUGUGAAAUCCCCGGGCUUAACCUGGGAAUGGCAUUCAAGACUGGUUAGCUAGAGUCUUGUAGAGGGGGGUUAGAAUUCCAUGUGUAGCGGUGAAAUGCGUAGAGAUGUGGAGGAAUACCGGUGGCGAAGGCGGCCCCUGGACAAAGACUGACGCUCAUGUGCGAAAGCGUGGGGAGCAAACAGGGAUUAGAUACC